AGUAAAGGCCACCGGCCUCGUGUUUUUUUCUGUUAAAUUUCACUGUUGCGAAGUUGGAAGUUGGAAUCUUCAAAUUGGUGGUGAAUGGACCUUUCAAUUUCCUGUUUAAACUGAUUCGUGCCGUCCAGCAGAAUUUAAGCGAAAUUUUUGCGCCAAAAACUCUCGCCUACGGAAAGUCGUCACCCUGGAUUCCGGAGGAGGUCAUCCGCAACUUCAUUGCACCUCCAUGACUGCAGCUUCGAAGACGGUGUUAAACCAUCAACCGAAUUACAAGGUCCGUCCUGCCACGAGUUCUCACCUCCAACGGAUGCAUUGAGGAAAGCUGGUCGGCUGGUCGGUCAGGGGUGGACCGGCUCUGGUGGCCUCAGUGCAUUGUGGGGUGCUGCGUGCAAGUGUGCAAAAUAACUGAUAAGAGAGUGAGCGGCGCAGAGAGACCCGCUUAAUGGCUUCGAGUUAAUUCCUGCCUCCUCAGCAGAUCCGGCUUCAGGAGCGUUCGAGCGAAAAGCAACUUGGACCGACUGGAGGUGAUCUUAUCAUUGUCUCUGUGUAAUUCAAGACACCUGGGCUUCGUAAAUCGAUCAUGAAGAGAUCUCGUGGGCUGUAAAAAAUCAGCGGGGAAAAGCAGCACGGUCUCCUUUUUAUUUGGCAACAACCAGAGAGAGAGAAAAAGAGAAUUACCGGAGAUGGACUUCAAAGGAGGCGAGCACGCGGUUGGCGGAACUCAAAUAAAGCCGGAAAAAUCGCCCGUCAGCGGUGGCAGUUAAAAGUACCCGGGACAUAUAAACGGCAGGGCGUGGUCGGGCCUUCUCGAGAGGAGCGAGCGAGCGAGCGAGCGGGCGCGUCACACCAGCACCAGUUUCCGAGCGACAACAGCCACGGAAUACAAAACAGUUGCUUGACUUAUGGGUGCCGCAAAACACACACAUAAUAUGCUCCGAGCAGCAGCAGCAGGAGAUGAUGAAGCAACUGCCGCAGAUCAAU